rnacentral:tRNA from 1 species
UCCCUAGUGGCUCAGUUGGUAAAGAAUCUGCUUGAGAUGCAGAAGACCCGGGUUCGAACCCUGGGUUGGGAA